GACGAACGCCGGCGGCGUGCCUAAUACAUGCAAGUUGAGCGCUGAAGGUUGGUACUUGUACCAACUGGAUGAGCAGCGAACGGGUGAGUAACGCGUGGGGAAUCUGCCUUUGAGCGGGGGACAACAUUUGGAAACGAAUGCUAAUACCGCAUAAAAACUUUAAACACAAGUUUUAAGUUUGAAAGAUGCAAUUGCAUCACUCAAAGAUGAUCCCGCGUUGUAUUAGCUAGUUGGUGAGGUAAAGGCUCACCAAGGCGAUGAUACGUAGCCGACCUGAGAGGGUGAUCAGCCACAUUGAGACUGUGACACGGCACAAACUCCUACGGGAGGCAGCAGUAGGGAAUCGUCGGCAAUGGACGAAAGUCUGACCGAGCAACGCCGCGGGAGUGAGGAAGGUUGUCGGAUCGUAAAACUCGGUUGGUAGAGAAGAACGUUGGUGAGAGUGGAAAGAUCAUCAAGUGACGGUAACUACCCAGAAAGGGACGGCUAACUACGUG
rnacentral:rRNA from 1 species